GCUGUCUGACUGCUGAAUUCCUACAACAUUUUGUGUGGCUACUGAGUGUAUGUUUGUGGCCCAUCCACUUUAAGGUUCAAUAUAUUGUGCAUUCAGAGAUGCUCUUCUGAACACUACUGCUGUAACACAUGGUCCUUUGUAGAAUCUCCGCCUUGGUGCUGUCCUGAUGGAAUUUAAUUAUUAUUGAGCGUGGGUUCUAUCCUGGCUGCUGCCUGACCUGUUGAGAUCCCCCAGCAUUACCUGUGUUGGCAAGAGGAUGAAGGAAUUGAUUGUGGACUUCAGUAAGGGGAUAUUGAGGGAACACACACACCAGUUUUCUUCGAGGGAUCAACAGAGGAAAAGAAAUGCCACAGAGGAUACCUGGCCUUACCUGCAUCCCGAUGACUGCAUAUAUGAAGAACAGCAUCACGAUGAGGAGUGCAACAUACGGAAGGGCCUGCAAAAAUGAAAACAAGGCCAAUGAAGCCUGACCCACAACCUGUCUGCUCUCUCCUCACACUCUCACCCAGCUGAGAUAGUAAACUUUAAAAGUAGGUACCCCCAGGCUAAAGAACAGCUUCUACCCCAUUUUAGUCAGAUGCUUGACAAUGAUAAGAUGGACUCGAGCCUAUUAUGAACUUGCAGUUUAUUGUCUACCUGCAGUGUCGCUUGUAAACUUUACUCUGCAGUGUCAUGUUUUACCCUGUGGACACAGCUGAGCACAUCCAUGAACUCUGUUACACUUCUCAAUGCCUCGGUAAAGCAGCCAGCUUAAUCACAGAGCCCAUCUGCCCUGGCCAUUCUCUCUCCUCUCAUUGAGCUGAAGAUACAAAAGUCUGAAAGCACGUACCACCGGGCUGGAGGACUCUCUGUUAUCAGAUCUCUUGGCAUUAUGACAAAAUCUCAUCUCUUGGCAAGAUCUACCUCAUUAUGAUCUUGCACUUUAUCUAGUUCCUUCAGUUUCUCCACCAGUGAUGGGGUAGACCUGUAUGAUUUUUAAUGUCCAGCAUAGUCUUGUGAUUAUAAAAAAGGUGAUUAAAAAAAACAAAGACAAAACCAUGUUUAGUUUGCCCCAUAGGAGCAUCUUAGCUCGCCAUCAUCUUAGCAAAAGUCCCCCAUUGUUAACGCAAACCACCCAUUUCACUAUGUUUCAAUUUACACAUAAUAAAUAAACCUGAAUCUGAAGAUAUGUUUAACAGGUGACUGCUAAGUGGAGGCUAGGCAAUGAAAUGGGUACUGAUUCAGGAUUGUUUAAUGUCAUUUCCAGUACACAAAUGUAAAGGAGAAUGAAAUAUUGUUACUCCUGAUCCAAUGCAGCACAAAAAAAACACAAUAAGACAAAUAACGCAAUAAAUAUAAAUACAAAACACAGUUUAUAUACAUAGAUUGAUUGUAUGUGUC